GCAGGAACAGAGCUGUAACGGGGCGCACCUGUUCUGAUACACCUGGCCAGGUUGUUGGGAAGAAGUGUUGAGCUGAAGAGCAGACAGGUGCCUGGGAGGGGCUGACGUGGUGCCCGCGAGGCAGGGGCAGCAGGGGGGUCACAACCCAACCGCCCUGCUCACUCAACGCUCCAACUUCCAGUUCCCUUUGCGAGUUAUUUCGUUUUGUUUAGAACUGUUUUGAAUGUAAGGUCGAUCUGACCACAGUACGUCUCUAGUGAUUACCUAGAUUGAACCAGCAAAAACAGCAGCUUAGGUUGGUGCCUUCUCUCUCUCUCAUAUUCCGCGGGCAGCUUUCUCGAAGCUACAAGCUCAGCGGAGGACCACGGGGAAAGGUGCCGUACUAGGAGAGACCUUUCUCAGAAAGACACGCCAUCCUGCAGCCGAGGCCACCACCGGCAGUGAACCCCGGUUUGCGUGCCUCCCGGGCAUGGGUGCUACUGCCUCUCUCCCGUCCUAGGACUCACGGGCAGUGCCUGCUCAGGACCCUGGGCUGGCUGAGUGUCUAAUCGACGUUGGAAUUAGGGGAGGAGGGCGCUGCCGGGGAUACACGUCUCUCCACUCCGCACGGAGCACAGCCUGGGUGGAGGAGGACAGGUGUUGAGACGGUGACUUAGCCUUUGGCCUAAAAUGCUGUCGUCACAGUCUUCGUCGCGCUCACCCCAUCUCGUGUUUGACUUUGGCCGUGUACUUAGUAAUCUAGCUUCAACUCACCCUAGAGGCGAGAGGAAGUGACGCGACUAUGGCAGGAGAAAUCUGGAAAUCUGGAAAUCCAAGGAUAGCACUAGCCUCUGGUAAAUUCCAUGUUUCUGGUCACUCUUAUGGACAAACCAUUCCUAAUUCCCCAACAGCCAUGGGUGCCCCGCUGCUUCCCGGAGGGGCUUGGAGAUCUGAGGCAUAGCGUACAGAGCCCAGAUCGCUGUGGGCUCGGGAGCCUCUUUCCCCGCGACCAGGUGAGACUCGGACUCUGGGGGACUCAGGCCGUGUGUGAAGGCCUGGCGCACAGCAGAGGUACCACCUCACUUCACAGGCCUGAGAGUGAAGCUGUGACAAAGCCACUCUAUCUGUCUGGACCACACAGAGAUAUCACAGCAAAGCAAAAGACAACAUAUUCUUAAGAACAUUCCUCUUGUUCCUGUCCUUUUUGUUUGUUUAUUUGUUUGUUUUGGUGGUGGUAGGAAGGCUUGGUAAAAAUGAAGAGGGCUCCAGGGGAAAGCAAGAAGAACUAAUGUUUGGAUGCUAGGAAGGAGGAAAAGUCCUCAGUAAGAGGGUCCGCUGGCUAAAAUGCCCAAACACGAAGGAUCUAAAGCUAGUGGACGUCAUCAGAGAGCAAGGUGUGGCGCUGGUGGGAAGACAUUCCCAUCACCCCUGGGAGAGAAGGGUGGUUUACUAAAGCGGGCCGGGGAACAUGCCUCUGUAAAUUCACAAAGCCCUCUGGUCCGCUACAGGAGAAUAAAGGGCAGAGAAUAAACCCCAGACAAGGAUUCACUGGUCUCGCGGACAGAGGUUGGAAAUGGACUUCGAUGCUCAUGUACCACCUUUGAAAUAUUUCUGGCGGGAGCUCGGAGGAUCCAGAGGAAUGACCAAGUUACCUGCUGAGUCAGGGCUUGUGGACUUUCGCGAGGAGGCACCACUACCGUCUCUGCGAGGAACUCUAGCUGGAAAAUGCAAGCUCUCAGCAGAGGAAAUGCAACCUUCCCUUCUCUGGGCUAGAAGGGUGGUCGUGGAAGGCUGGGGGAAAUGAUGGCGUGGUCUCUCUCUGGUAGGCAGAUCUGUUUCCUGAGUCCCUGAGCUGCAGCUGUUGAGUUUCCAGACACAAACAAGUACGUAUUCUGUGAGCCUCGCUGAGGCCACACAGCAAGGAAGAGCCAAGCUGGAUUCCAUUCUGCUUUGCGCAUCAGCAGCCCAGCUGCCAGCUGAACUCCAGGGCAAGCUCUGCGCCUGGUAACGAUGCAGAGGCUCUAGGUAAGCCCGGCCUCCCACUCACUAAAAGCCGGCAGUCGGGGAAAAGUGGUCCGCGGUGUCCACGACCACCGUGUAGAGUGUGCACCACAAGAAGACGACCAGCUGAGGGCACGAAUGUCAUUUCUUGAUGUCGUCUGUUCCUUUUCGCCCACUAUGACCAAGGACUGAGCUCCCUCUACGCCAGACCAUAUGGAAGUCGAGCUGGGGGCUUCAUCUGACCAGGAAGAGAUGAGGUGACAUGGAGGGAAGAUGGGGUUUGGGAGGCUCUCAGGCAGGUUUCAGGUGGCUAAGUGGGGAAGGUCAGACUAUGUAAAAGGGCUGAUUGGGACAGUUGCAACUCGCCUGGGUCAAAAGAGUUGUGAGCUGGGAAUGACAUUUGGCGUGGAGAGAAGGAGCUGAGGUCAUUGGUAUGAUGUUACUUGGAAACAGGUGCAGCAUUCCUCAGAUGCGAGGAGAAUCUUGUAUCUCUGCCUGGUCAGUGUGUACAUGUGAGGAUGAGGACAUGUGCAGAGUGGCGUGGCAUGGGCUUUCUCGGGAAUAACGUUGUGUUACCUCAGAGCUGGAAGUUUCCACUAGAGCAGUGGUUCUCAAAGUGCGGUCCCCAACCUAGCAGCCUCCACGUCACCUGGGAACUUGUUAGAAAUGUGGAUUCUCAGGCCCCUGAUCCGCUGAAUCGGAAACUCUGGGGUGAGGCGCAGCCAUCUGUGUUUCAAGCAGCCCUUUAGAUGACCCUAAUGCCCACUGAAGUUUGAGAACCACUGGUCUAGAUUAUGCAGAUAAAGACUUGCCUGAAUGACCUGGAUUCAGCAGACGUGAGAACUCGGGGGAGGCCCCAGAGGUGCCAGCUUCCCUGGCUGUGCUCAAGGUGAGCCGACCUAGUUUUAGCCUCUGUCCUCGGGCCCUGGGUCCCCUGCUCUUUCCGAAGAAAUACCG